rnacentral:rRNA from 1 species
UCGAGGAUCUUCGGCAAUGGGCGCAAGCCUGACCGAGCGACGCCGCGUGUGCGAAGAAGGCCUUCGGGUUGUAAAGCACUGUCGAGGGGGAGGAAGCCGAAAGGUUGACCUAUCCCUGGAGGAAGCACGGGCUAAGUUCGUGCCAGCAGCCGCGGUAAGACGAACCGUGCGAACGUUGUUCGGAAUCACUGGGCUUAAAGGGCGCGUAGGCGGGUCAGCAAGUCCGGGGUGAAAUCUUUCGGCUCAACCGGAAAAGUGCCUUGGAUACUGCUGGUCUUGAGGGAGGUAGGGGUAUGUGGAACUUCUGGUGGAGCGGUGAAAUGCGUUGAUAUCAGAAGGAACGCCGGUGGCGAAAGCGACGUACUGGACCUCUUCUGACGCUGAGGCGCGAAAGCUAGGGGAGCAAACGGGAUUAGAUACCCCCGUAGUCC